CCCGUUCCCUGCCGUUUCUCACUCUCCGCCGCACCCUGCAGGCUUUCUGUUCCAGGCCCCUGCUCCUGGGUCCUGCCCCCGAGGUCAGGCAGGGCCUGUGGUUCCUCCCCAAAUGCCCCGGAAGCCCCAGGGCCUGUUCAGCAGCUCUAGAUGGCCCGGUGGGGAGGAGCCGCCCUCUCGGUGUUGCUGUCUGAUGGCUUGAAGGGACCCCUUGGAAGGACACACACCUGGGGACACUGGGCUCACAGAUGUCCUGCUGCUUUACCGUCGAGCCUCACGGCCAUCUGCUGACCUGUCAGAGCCCAGCAGGCCCCUGCCCGGGGGUUGGUGGAAUGCCCCUGGGGGUCUCAGACCCACUGCCCAGCUCAUGGCCGGGCUCCGCAUCUCUCUAGAUUGGAGGAUUCUGGCGGGAAGUCGGUGUGGCCUCCUAUCAAAGUCUGGUGCUGAUGGCCCCAAAGCGGGUGGAGGGCUUGUUCCUCACUUUGAACGGGAGUAACCUGACCGUGAAGGUUGCAUAUAACAGCUCAGGAAGCUGUGAAAUAGAGAAGAUUGUGGGCUCAGAAAUAGACACUACGGGAAAAUUUGCUUUUCCUGCUUCUGUAGUGUCCCCAACCACUCAAGUGCUGGGACUGGGUGGGGGCAGGAUGGAGUUAGACCCUGCAGACCCUGGCCUUCGAGGUCCAUCCCCCUCAGAGGUCUCCCCCAACGCCAUGGCCGGCUCCUGAAGGCCACAGAGAGAUCCACGUGCUGGACACCGACUACGAGGGCUAUGCCAUCCUGCGGGUGUCCCUGAUGUGGCGGGGCAGGAACUUUCACGUCCUCAAGUACUUCACUCGGAGCUUGGAGGAUGAGGACCGGCUGGGGUUCUGGAGGUUUCGGGAGCUGACGGCAGACACUGGUCUCUACCUGGCGGCCCGGCCUGGGCGGUGUGCCGAGCUUCUGAAGGAGGAGCUGAUUUAAUGGAGUUUCUGCCUCAGACCACGAGGCUCAGAGCCCCCGCCCAUCCCGGCCCCUCCUGGGCACCCUGCCCACCGGGUCACCUGCACCUGCUCUGAAUAAACUGUGAUGUC